CCAGCUCCAAUAGCGUAUAUUUAAGUUGCUGCAGUUAAAAAGCUCGUAGUUGGAUUUCGGGCGGGGCCUGCCGGUCCGCCGUUUCGGUGUGCACUGGCCGGGCCCGCCUUGUUGCCGGGGACGGGCUCCUGGGCUUCACUGUCCGGGACUCGGAGUCGGCGCUGUUACUUUGAGUAAAUUAGAGUGUUCAAAGCAGGCCUACGCUCUGAAUACAUUAGCAUGGAAUAACACGAUAGGACUCUGGCCUAUCCUGUUGGUCUGUAGGACCGGAGUAAUGAUUAAGAGGGACAGUCGGGGGCAUUCGUAUUUCGAUGUCAGAGGUGAAAUUCUUGGAUUUUCGAAAGACGAACUACUGCGAAAGCAUUUGCCAAGGAUGUUUUCA
rnacentral:rRNA from 1 species